rnacentral:tRNA from 1 species
GGGGGAUUAGCUCAGCUGGCUAGAGCGUCACGCUGGCAGUGUGAAGGUCAUCGGUUCGACUCCGAUAUUCUCCA